AUGAUUUAUUUUUAAGAAGCCCUGUAAGUGCCUUGCUUUCAUAUAAUUGUAUAUAAUCUACAGACCAGCCAAUUCCCUAUGGGCCAGACUGUAAAUUAUAUCCUUAUAAACGGUGCGUUCUGGCGUCAGAACGCGCCGUUUAUAUUCUUAAAGAGACAGCAAUUGCAGCUGCUGCUCUAUCCUCUACCGUUGCUUCACAUCAGUUUAGCUUUCAAUCACCACAUAAUCAUUUUCUUACUUCCCACACACGAAACACGCUCCGCCUGUUCCAGUCCCUCCCACAUAUUUGCUUAUCUUUCGCUCGCGUCUCACAUCUCGUGCAGCUGCCUCCCUGUCACAGGAUUCCUCUCUGCUCGCUCCCCCUCCCAUCCACCAUCGCAUUUGCAAGUCUCGCUCCCUCCUCCCAUCCACUAUCUCAAAUCUCGCUCAUUCCUCUCAGCCACCAUCUCAAAUCUUGCUCCCCCCUCCCAUCCACCAGCUCAAGUUUCACACUCCCCUCCUUCCCUUGCCUCCGCUUGUUCAUCUCAGCUGAAUGACGUUACAUAGAGCAGGCUCCUGAAGAACGCAAAAGUAAUAAAGAUGGACCACAGGUUACGACCUUGGGUGGCUGAUCCUCCAAUGAUGGCGUAUAAGACAGCGACAAACUUGCGGGACCAGCUAGUCCAUGCAUUGAGUGAACCUCCCAAAAAACAAGGCACAGCAUCAGGUGAACCAGUUACGUUUUAUGAGAAUAGAACAGAUGAAAAGGCCUACUCGAGGUGGAGACAGGGAAUUACUUCUCAAACAAAUGGUAUUGACAUGGAUAUACAAAUUGAAUUGCCUCUCUCCCAAUGGUCUCAAUGAAGUUCCCCGGAUCCGGAAUACGAGGCAUUGUUGGACAGCUAGAAUCCAAAGUUCCAGUGGCAGUCGGUUCGUUGUCCCCUUCAAUACUAUGUCUCUUUACCCCUCUCUCACUAAUAUAGGUAAAGACACGUUACCCUCUGCCCCUUCAAUGGAUGUGGUAAGUACAUAUCCAUUACGUACCCAAGCUGUGUUUGAAGGGGAAAGUACAUCACCCAAAUAUAGUGUUACCUGGUACCAGCCUUUUCCUCGCUCUGAGCAAUUGGCACUUCUAGAAGGUGUACCCGACCCUGACGUUAACCCAGCAGGGUUGGUAAAAAAGUUAAAAGCCAUACAGACAAUUUACACGGCAACACGCAGGGAUAUAGAACAAAUCAUGAAAUUAGGAUUUGGUCCAAGAGUGUUGCCAAUUUUAGAACUCUGUAAGGCACAUACGCAAGCAAAAGGAAGAUUCCUGCCUCCUGGCCACAUGGCAACAUAUUAGCUAAUCAAGAUAAUCCUGAUAAUGAAGUUGCUUUAACUAUUUUGUUCUCUAUGUUAAAAGGUGACAAACAACCCAAAACUGGAGAGGAAAUUCGAACUGACCAGUUAAGGGAUGAAAUUAAAAAGUGUAUAGAUGAGUAUAAAGACUUGAAUGGGCAUCUAAACAGAAUGUGAUGAAGCAAAUACAGAAGUUAAGAACCUAAUGCAUAAUAACAAUGUGGGGCUGGGUGGUGAACACGUAAAAAUGAAAGAAACUAAACUAAUAUCUAUCUGUAAGAGUGGGUGGGCAAUUAGAACUUGUAACAUCUUUGUUGGUUUCUGAUACUGUGCCUGUAAAUCUUUUGGGGGCAGACAUACUGUCACAAAUAAAUGCAUGUAAAUAAUUUACUGAAAAUGGAGUGCACCCCACAAGCCCCCUAGCUGACAAUGUUGUUGCUGCCAUUUUUUUGUUAGUAAUUUCCAAGCAGACAAUUGAAGAUAUUGAACAUAAACUAAAAGAGGUGCCUGAGUCCCUGUGGGAAACAGGCAAAUAUGAUGUAGGAACAUUAAAUGUUCCCCCUGUGCACAUAAAACUAAAAGAGGGAGCUGUAUUGCCCAAACUGCCUCAAUACCCUCUAAAUGCACAGCAAAUUGAAGGAAUAAGAGCACAAAUUGAGGAAUAUGAAAAAGUUGGGGUGCUCAUAAAAAAAUUAGGUAACCAGUUAUUUGAAAAUUGGUCCCUUAAUCUAUAAUAAAAAUCUAAAUUGUGUACAAAGUAAACAUUUUUUAGUAGCAAGACUAACAAAGUAUGAAGUAGCUUUACUAACACCAUCAAAUCUAACGAUCAAAAGAUGUAAUGUCCUCAACCCUGCCAAACUAAUACCUGAAAAAGGGGGGGAUGAUAUGUUGACAUACAUGACUGUUUUGAAAUGAAGCAAAGUGAGGUUACAAGGGUUUGAUAAUGUAAAAGAUGAACCUGUGUUAAAUCCUGAUUGUGAAUUGUUUUUUGAUGGAUCUCGCUACUGUACUGAGGAUGCUAAAUAUCUUAUGAUGUUGUAACAUUUGUCUGAUGUUUUAGUUCAGCAGAGUCUACCUCCACAUAUGUCAGCUCAAGAAGCUGAGCUACAAGCACUCAUCACAUCAUUCAUGCACACUAGCGGAAGGUCAAAGGGUGAACAUCUUUUCUGAUAGCAGGUACUGUAUUGGUAUUUGUCUCGACUAUCUUCCGAUUUGGAGGGCCAGAAAUUUUGACGUCAUCAGGUAAACCAAUUAAGAAUGCAGAUUUAGUAAAACAGCUAUUGUUAGCAUUACAGCUUCCAACUGAGGUAGCCAUUCUUAAAGUAGAAGCGCACA